CCGCAUCUUUGACAGCCUGGGCUCUCUGCUGUGAGAUAUCCUGGGUUUUAAUAUUUCAGAUGCAACAUCAAAAUGUCCCUGCGCUUUCUGCUCGCCUCUUCAUGGCGGCUCGGAUUGAAUUGGGGAGGAUAAAU